AUUGAACGCUGGCGGCAGGCCUAACACAUGCAAGUCGAGCGAGCGGCGGACGGGUGAGUAAUGUCUGGUAAACUGCCUGAUGGAGGGGGAUAACUACUGGAAACGGUAUCUAAUACCGCAUACCAUCAGAUUUGCCCUGAUGGGAUUAGCUAGUAGGUGGGGUAACGGCGCACCUAGGCGACGAGCCCUAGCUGGUCUGAGAGGAUGACCAGCCACACUGGAACUGAGACACGGUCCAGACUCCUACGGGAGGCAGCAGUGGGGAAUAUUGCACAAUGGGCGAAAGCCUGAUGCAGCAAUGCCGCGUGUGUGAAGAAGGCCUUCGGGUCGUAAAGCACUUUCAGCGGGGAGGCGUUACCCGAAGAAGAAGCACCGGCUAACUCCGUGCCAGCAGCCGCGGUAAUAC
rnacentral:rRNA from 1 species